UACGCGAAGGGGCCGGGGCAGUCGGUGGAUCCACCGACUGCCCCGGCCCCUUCGCGUA
rnacentral:pre_miRNA from 1 species